rnacentral:tRNA from 1 species
GCCAGUGUGGCGUAGUGGUUUGAAUGUUGGACUAAGAUUCUGGAGACCAGGGUUCGAAUCCCGGCUCAGUCA